UACGAAGGGGGCUAGCGUUGUUCGGAAUUACUGGGCGUAAAGCGCACGUAGGCGGAUCGAUCAGUCAGGGGUGAAAUCCCAGAGCUCAACUCCAGAACUGCCUUUGAUACUGGCGAUCUCGAGUCCGGGAGAGGUGAGUGGAACUGCGAGUGUAGAGGUGAAAUUCGUAGAUAUUCGCAAGAACACCAGUGGCGAAGGCGGCUCACUGGCCCGGUACUGACGCUGAGGUGCGAAAGCGUGGGGAGCAAACAGG
rnacentral:rRNA from 1 species